rnacentral:lncRNA from 1 species
UUACAGGCAUAUGAGUCAGAGAUUUGGGCAAAAGAAAAACACAUGCUUAUCACUUCUCGAAUUUAAUAGUAAGCAAGCACCUCAUCACAUGAGUAAGUUCAGCCACAUGACGAUAAGGAAAGGGGCGGACGAGAGUUCUAAUAAUUCUCUUCCUUCAGGUCUGUCAACGUUCCAUCUUUUUCUUACUUGAAUGAAGAAAGACAGAACCUCCCAUAUAUACAACACA